GAUGAACGCUGGCGGCGUGCUUAACACAUGCAAGUCGAACGGAAAGGCCCAAGCUUGCUUGGGUACUCGAGUGGCGAACGGGUGAGUAACACGUGGGUGAUCUGCCCUGCACUUCGGGAUAAGCCUGGGAAACUGGGUCUAAUACCGGAUAGGACCACUUCUUGGAUGUUGUGGUGGAAAGUUUUUUCGGUGUGGGAUGAGCUCGCGGCCUAUCAGCUUGUUGGUAGGGUAAUGGCCUACCAAGGCGUCGACGGGUAGCCGGCCUGAGAGGGUGUACGGCCACAUUGGGACUGAGAUACGGCCCAGACUCCUACGGGAGGCAGCAGUGGGGAAUAUUGCACAAUGGGCGCAAGCCUGAUGCAGCGACGCCGCGUGGGGGAUGACGGCCUUCGGGUUGUAAACUCCUUUCGCUAGGGACGAAGCGUUUUGUGACGGUACCUGGAGAAGAAGCACCGGCUAACUACGUG
rnacentral:rRNA from 1 species